GCGUAAUGGGAUGAGGCAUAUUAUCAUUCAGUUAUCCCUGUCUGAAAACUAUUGUUGAGAAUCUUUCACUCUGAUUUACUA
rnacentral:snoRNA from 1 species